rnacentral:rRNA from 1 species
UACGUAGGGGGCGAGCGUUGUCCGGAUUUAUUGGGCGUAAAGGGCGCGUAGGCGGUCAGCACAAGUCAGUUGUGAAAUCUCCGGGCUUAACUCGGAAAGGUCAACUGAUACUGUGCGACUAGAGUGCAGAAGGGGCAACUGGAAUUCUCGGUGUAGCGGUGAAAUGCGUAGAUAUCGAGAGGAACACCUGCGGCGAAGGCGGGUUGCUGGGCUGACACUGACGCUGAGGCACGAAGGCCAGGGGAGCAAAACGGG